rnacentral:rRNA from 1 species
UUAGCCCACGACACCUUGCUAAGCCACACCCCCAAGGGAAUUCAGCAGUGAUAAAUAUUAAGCCAUGAGUGAAAACUUGACUUAGUUAAUGUUAACAGGGUCGGUAAAUCUCGUGCCAGCCACCGCGGUUAUACGAGAGACCCAAGUCGAUGGCCCUCGGCGUAAAGAGUGGUUAAGAUAUACCCAAAACUAAAGCCAAAUGACUUCAAAGCUGUUAUACGCGCAUGAAAGUACGAAGCCCAAUCACGAAAGUGGCUUUAAGCCCCUGACUCCACGAAAGCUAUGACACAAACUGGGAUUAGAUACCCCACUAUGCGUAGCCCUAAACAUUGAUAAUAACCUACUUAUUUUAUAUCCGCCCGGGUACUACGAGCGUCAGCUUGAAACCCAAAGGACUUGGCGGUGCUUUAGAUCCACCUAGAGGAGCCUGUUCU